UACAGAGGUCUCAACCGUUGUUCGGAUUCAUUGGGCGUAAAGGGUGCGUAGGCGGUCGCGCAAGUCGGAUGUGAAAUCUCAGGGCUCAACCCUGAAACUGCAUUCGAUACUGCGUGGCUAGAGUGCUGGAGAGGAGACUGGAAUUUACGGUAUAGCAGUGAAAUGCGUAGAUAUCGUAAGGAAGACCAGUGGCGAAGGCGAGUCUCUGGACAGCAACUGACGCUGAGGCACGAAGGCCAGGGGAGCAAACGGG
rnacentral:rRNA from 1 species